AACCUUUACUAUAGCUUGACACUGAACAUUGAGCCUUGAUGUGUAGGAUAGGUGGGAGGCUUGGAAGUGUGGACGCCAGUCUGCAUGGAGCCGACCUUGAAAUACCACCCUUUAAUGUUUGAUGUUCUAACGUUGACCCGUAAUCCGGGUUGCGGACAGUGUCUGGUGGGUAGUUUGACUGGGGCGGUCUCCUCCUAAAGAGUAACGGAGGAGCACGAAGGUUGGCUAAUCCUGGUCGGACAUCAGGAGGUUAGUGCAAUGGCAUAAGCCAGCUUGACUGCGAGCGUGACGGCGCGAGCAGGUGCGAAAGCAGGUCAUAGUGAUCCGGUGGUUCUGAAUGGAAGGGCCAUCGCUCAACGGAUAAAAGGUACUCCGGGGAUAACAGGCUGAUACCGCCCAAGAGUUCAUAUCGACGGCGGUGUUUGGCACCUCGAUGUCGGCUCAUCACAUCCUGGGGCUGAAGUAGGUCCCAAGGGUAUGGCUGUUCGCCAUUUAAAGUGGUACGCGAGCUGGGUUUAGAACGUCGUGAGACAGUUCGGUCCCUAUCUGCCGUGGGCGCUGGAGAACUGAGGGGGGCUGCUCCUAGUACGAGAGGACCGGAGUGGACGCAUCACUGGUGUUCGGGUUGUCAUGCCAAUGGCACUGCCCGGUAGCUAAAUGCGGAAGAGAUAAGUGCUGAAAGCAUCUAAGCACGAAACUUGCC
rnacentral:rRNA from 1 species